GACGAACGCUGGCGGCGUGCUUAACACAUGCAAGUCGAACGGUGAAGCGCCUUCCUUUUUGGCGGGGGUGGAUGAGUGGCGAACGGGUGAGUAACACGUGAGUAACCUGCCCCCUUCUUCUGGCUAACCGCAUGAAAGUGUGGCUAAUCCAGGAUUUUCCGCGUCUGUCGCAUGCUGGGUCUGGGAAGGUUAUUGUUUCGGUGGGGGAUGGCCUCGGGGCCGAUCAGCUGGUGGGUGGGGUGGUGGCCUACCAAGGCGGGGACAGGUAGCCGGCCCGAGAGCGUGGCCGGUCACACUGGGAAUGAGACACGGCCAAGACUCGUACGGGAGACAGCCGAGAGUACUACUGGAGACAGGGGUGAAGCAUGAUGCAGCGACGCCGCGUGCGGGAUGGAGGCCUUCGGGGUGUGAAACUCAUUCGUUAGUGAAGCAGGGCUGUCUUGCUUGUGAGUAGGUUGACGGUAGCUGGAGAAGAAGCGCCGGCUAACUACGUG
rnacentral:rRNA from 1 species